CGCGUAGGCGGUUGGAUAAGUCAGCUGUGAAAACCACGGGCUUAACUCGUGGCCUGCAGUUGAGACUGUCUGGCUUGAGUGUGGGAGAGGAGAGUGGAAUUCCUGGUGUAGCGGUGAAAUGCGUAGAUAUCAGGAGGAACACCGGUGGCGAAGGCGGCUCUCUGGACCACAACUGACGCUGAGGCGCGAAAGGCUAGGGAGCAAACA
rnacentral:rRNA from 1 species